rnacentral:lncRNA from 1 species
GAAAGCCAGAUAGGGUUAGCCUGUGGAAGCAUGCAGGGUUAGCCUGUGGAAGCAUGCAGGGUUAGCCUGUGGAAGCAUGCAGGGUUAGCCUGUGGAAGCAUGCAGGGUUAGCCUGUGAAAGCAUGCAGGGUUAGCCUGUGGAAGCAUGCAGGGUUAGCCUGUGGAAGCAUGCAGGGUUAGCCUGUGGAAGCAUGCAGGGUUAGCCUGUGGAAGCAUGCAGGGUUAGCCUGUGGAAGCGUGCAGGGUUAGCCCAUGGAGACAUUUAGCUUACAGUGCUUCUGAGUUCUCUAUGUCUUUGUUAAUGAAGAAUGUUAUCUAGGUUCAAAGAUGGCUUCCCAAGAAGGAAGCAACUUUUGAAACCACCAACCUCUUGACACUUAAGUCCUUUGUAGAUCAUGUCAGAACCCAACCAUCAGACUUUCUAUUGAUGUCUGUUUUACCAAUGAUCAUUUUGAACCUUUAAAAACAAAAUCAAAAUCCAAGAGUAUCGUUUUCUUCCUAUCUACAUACACAUAAGCUUGAAAAGUGUUCACUGAGUAUUGUCAUUAAGUAGGCAAGAAACCUGUCUCAGGACAGAAGUGACAUGUCAUGUUGCUGGUAAAUUUUAAUGCUCCAAUUCUCUGUCCAGGACUGGGUCUCGGAAACAGCUCCCCAUCUCUCAGGGCUCCGGGGCCAGCAGAGAAGGCUGUCCUGGGACAAACUGGACCAUCUGAUGAAUGAGGAACCACAGCUGCUUUGUCAAGAAAGCAAGAGACUCCAGACUGUGGUACAGAAUACCCAAGCAGAUCUCACCCACUCCCGGGAGAAGGUAACUCAAAAGCAGCAUGUUGUUGAAAUGACUAAUAAGACUGUUUGAUAUGGUCUUAGAAUAGAUUGGCGUACCUUGUAAUGGCAGACUUAUUUUGAGAUGAAUAAAUUUUCAUUUACUUGUAUGUAAAUUUAUAUAUUUAAACUAUUCUUAUUUUGUAUAAGCAAUUGUAUAUUAAAAUAUAUCUAUGACUUUAAAUAUUAAAGUGCCCUCAUAUUAAAUUACUAACUGGUGGAAAUUAUGAUAUCCAUAUAUUCCUCAUUCAAAUUGCUUAGCUGCCCAGACCAAUAGUAACAAAAUGGCAAAAUCAGGCUCAGAUCUUAAGGGUCAGGCUAACUCUUUGUAAGAGAAAACUUGGUGCCCCUUUGUAGAGACUUAGCAUUUCAAGGCCAGGAUAAUUUUCAAUUUCUGAGAACCACCCAGCUGACACGUGCUGUGCUGUCAACCACUUAACCCGUGCCUCAGCACUUCUACUGUAGAAUUCCAAGCAUCAUGAAUUUUCCUUGAGAACACCUACUGUGUGCAGAAGAAUAUGCUGCUUCUGGACCUACAGUGGGGACAGGAAGCACAGCCUUGGUCCCCGACCUCGUGGGAUUGGCAGAGGCAGAUGCUUGGGUCCAGCAGCCGUCUCUACCAGAGUCUACCUGAGCCACCUCUAAACGUUCUGCCCAUAACAGAGCAACAGAUCCCUGGACUGCUGCCCCAGUUGUUCCUCAGCUCCUUCACACUCACUCUGGGCUCCUGGAGACUUAGCUGACCACCAAGAAAUCUCCUCAAUGUGCCAUAACGUUGAAUUUGUAAGCUCAAUCAGGUUUAUCUAGAAAGGAUGUUUAGAGAUAAUU